UACAUGGGGUGCAAACGUUGCUCGGAAUUAUUGGGCGUAAAGCGCACGUAGGUGGUUUGUUAUGUCGGAUGUGAAAGCCCUCGGCUCAACUGAGGAAGUGCAUCCGAAACUGGCAAGCUAGAGUAUGUAAGAGGGUCGCGGAAUUCCCGGUGUAGAGGUGAAAUUCGUAGAUAUCGGGAGGAACACCGGUGGCGAAGGCGACGUCCUGGACCGGCAUUGACGCUGAGGCGCGAAAGCCAGGGGAGCAAACGGG
rnacentral:rRNA from 1 species